GACGAACGCUGGCGGCGUGCCUAAUACAUGCAAGUAGAACGCACAGUUUAUACCGUAGCUUGCUACACCAUAAACUGUGAGUUGCGAACGGGUGAGUAACGCGUAGGUAACCUGCCUGGUAGCGGGGGAUAACUAUUGGAAACGAUAGCUAAUACCGCAUAAUAUUGAUUAUUGCAUGAUAAUUGAUUGAAAGAUGCUAUUGCAUCACUACCAGAUGGACCUGCGUUGUAUUAGCUAGUAGGUGAGGUAACGGCUCACCUAGGCGACGAUACAUAGCCGACCUGAGAGGGUGAUCGGCCACACUGGGACUGAGACACGGCCCAGACUCCUACGGGAGGCAGCAGUAGGGAAUCUUCGGCAAUGGACGAAAGUCUGACCGAGCAACGCCGCGUGAGUGAGGAAGGUUUUCGGAUCGUAAAGCUCUGUUGUAAGAGAAGAACGGGUGUGAGAGUGGAAAGUUCACACUGUGACGGUAUCUUACCAGAAAGGGACGGCUAACUACAUG
rnacentral:rRNA from 1 species